GGGCGUAUUGGGCCCGACGCUCGCAUGCUCCCGCGCCGCCAUGGCGGCCGCGGGAAUUCGACUUAGGAAUAAGCCACGGCUAAUUCCGUGCCAGCAGCCGCGGUAAUACGGGAGUGGCAAGCGUUAUCCGGAAUUAUUGGGCGUAAAGCGUCCGCAGGCGGCUUUUCAAGUCUGCUGUUAAAGCGUGGAGCUUAACUCCAUCAUGGCAGUGGAAACUGAAAGGCUUGAGUAUGGUAGGGGCAGAGGGAAUUCCCGGUGUAGCGGUGAAAUGCGUAGAUAUCGGGAAGAACACCAGUGGCGAAGGCGCUCUGCUGGGCCAUUACUGACGCUCAUGGACGAAAGCCAGGGGAGCGAAAG
rnacentral:rRNA from 1 species